CUACGGGGGGCUCCAGUAAGGAAUAUUGCGCAAUGGAGGCAACUCUGACGCAGCCAUGCCGCGUGCAGGAAGAAGGCCUUAUGGGUCGUAAACUGCUUUUAUUUAGGAAUAAACCCCCGAACGUGUUCGGGGCUGAAGGUACUAAACGAAUAAGCACCGGCUAACUCCGUGCCAGCAGCCGCGGUAAUACGGAGGGUGCAAGCGUUAUCCGGAUUUAUUGGGUGUAAAGGGUGCGCAGGCGGGCUAUUAAGUCAGUGGUGAAAUCCCGGGGCUCAACUCCGGAACUGCCAUUGAUACUGAUAGUCUUGAGUUUGGUUGAAGUGGGCGGAAUGUAGCAUGUAGCGGUGAAAUGCAUAGAUAUGCUACAGAACACCAAUCGCGAAGGCAGCUCACUAAGCCAAAACUGACGCUCAUGCACGAAAGCGUGGGGAUCAAACAGGAUUAGAUACCCCGGUAGUC
rnacentral:rRNA from 1 species